AUAAAAAACCAAUGCGGAGCAAUCCGGUUUUUGGUGAAUCAUAAUAACUUAACGGAUCGCAUGGCCUUGUGCCGGCGAUAGUUCAUUCAAAUUUCUGCCCUAUCAACUUUCGAUGGUACGGUAUUGGCCUACCAUGGUUA
rnacentral:rRNA from 1 species